rnacentral:pre_miRNA from 1 species
AAAGUACUCCCUCCGUCCCAAAAUUCUUGUCUUAGAUUUGUCUAGAUACAGAUGUAUCAAGUCACAGAUACAUCCGUAUCUAGACAAAUCUAAGACAAGAAAUUUGGGACAGAGGGAGUAGUUC